rnacentral:rRNA from 1 species
AGCUAACGGCGGGCAAGACGCGGGGGGAGUACGGAGGGGGCGGGGGUGAAUAGGAAUGACUGGGCGGAAGUGGUGCGCAGGGGGUUUGGGAAGACAGGCGUGAGAUCCCCGGGCGUAACCUGGGAACUGCGCUUGGGACUGCCAGGCUAGAGUACGGCAGAGGGGGGUGGAAUUCCACGUGUAGCAGUGAAAUGCGUAGAGAUGUGGAGGAACACCAAUGGCGAAGGCAGCCCCCUGGGUCGAUACUGACGCUCAUGCACGAAAGCGUGGGUAGCAAACAGGAUAGAUACCCCGGUAGUC